CCCGCUGAACUUAAGCAUAUCAAUAAGCGGAGGAAAAGAAACUAACAAGGAUUCCCCUAGUAACGGCGAGUGAAACGGGAAUAGCCCAACUUGAAAAUCUCCCUUUGGAGAAUUGUAGUCUAUAGAAGCGCCCUCUGUGGCGGCCGGGGUCCAAGUCCACUGGAAAGUGGCGUCAGAGAGGGUGAGAACCCCGUCGACUCUAGGCUUAGCUACUCCACGAGGUGCUUUCCACGAGUCGGGUUGUUUGGGAAUGCAGCCCAAAAUGGGAGGUAAAUCCCUUCUAAGGCUAAAUAUUGGCGAGAGACCGAUAGCGAACAAGUACCGUGAGGGAAAGAUGAAAAGAACUUUGAAAAGAGAGUUAAAAAGUGCUUGAAAUUGUUGAGAGGGAAGCGAUUGGAGGGUGCGGGUGCGCUCAGGCUUAUGCUUCUCUAACGAGUGGCUGUAUGUGCUGAGUGCUGGUCAGCAUGGGUUAGCCGGGCGGGAUAACAGCAGGGGUUGAUACCCUGCCUAUGCCGUCUGGCUGACCAAGGCGUGAAUGGAGCUUCGCCCUUCGGGAGCUGCUUCAUCAAGAUGCUGGCAGAAGCCCUUCAAUCGGCCCGUCUUGAAACACGG
rnacentral:rRNA from 1 species